GUAGUCAUCAUGGGCCCCGCCCCAAAGAUGGUGGCGCCUGGAGCGCGGGGCCGUGACUGAUUCAGUGUCUGCUCCGUUUCUGAUGGUAACCUUGACCGGCUCUGCGGGGAGAUGAACCAGCCGGGGUUCAUGGUCUCGCUGGUGGCUGGUGGGGUGGCAGGUGCCUCUGUUGACCUGAUACUAUUUCCUCUGGAUACCAUUAAAACCAGGCUUCAGAGUCCACAAGGAUUUAAAAAGGCUGGUGGUUUUCGUGGCAUAUAUGCUGGUGUACCGUCUACUGCUAUUGGAUCUUUUCCUAAUGCUGCUGCAUUUUUCCUCACCUAUGAAUAUGUGAAAUGGUUUUUGCACAUUGAUACAUCUUCAUAUUGGAUGCCUAUGAAACAUAUGUUGGCUGCCUCUGCGGGAGAAGUGGUUGCCUGCCUGAUUCGAGUGCCUUCUGAAGUGGUUAAGCAGAGGGCUCAGGUAUCUGCUUCUGCAAGAACAUUUCACAUUUUCUCUAACAUCUUAUAUGAAGAGGGCAUCCAAGGAUUAUAUCGAGGCUAUAAAAGCACAGUUUUAAGAGAGAUUCCUUUUUCACUGGUCCAGUUUCCCUUGUGGGAGUAUUUAAAGGCCCUCUGGUCCUGGCGGCAGGAUCAUGUGGUGGAUUCUUGGCAGUCAGCAGUGUGUGGAGCUUUCGCAGGUGGUUUUGCAGCUGUAAUCACCACACCUUUGGAUGUGGCAAAGACAAGAAUUAUGUUGGCAAAGGCCGGGUCCAGCACCGCAGGUGGGAACGUGAUCUCUGCCUUGCAAGGGGUCUGGAGGUCACAGGGGCUGACAGGGUGCUGGUGCUGCAUGUGAAGAGCAGUAGCCAGGGGACAGGAGGGGACUGCGAGGGCCGCAGGGACGUCCUUCUGCUUCCCCACUGGCUGCCCCAUGACCCCAGAUGCACAGCUCCUGGUGGCAUCUGAGCCUUUUCAGUUUUCUGCUCUAGCUUUGCCCUGAAUGGACUUUUUCAUUAGUCUGCCCAUUAGCUGUGACUUUAGACAUGGUUUCUACUUAGAGAGCACCCUUCUGGUGAGGUGUCAGACAUGAUGAAAAUGUGGAUGGGACAGGUCUCCUGCCCUGGCCUCCACAGAAAGCAGGUUAUUCGCAGGUGUCAUCCCCCGAAUGGCAGCCAUCAGCCUGGGAGGGUUCAUCUUUCUGGGUGCUUAUGACCAAGCCCGCAGCGUGCUGUUGAGAGUGGGCAGGAGGAGUGGGUGAGGCAGAGGUGCAUCCGUGCUGCCUGGGGAAAGGGGGCUGUGCUAAGACCCCGCCUCCCCCGCGUCGUCACUCCGUCCUCAACAGCGUCCUCAACAGCGUAACCGGGCUGCAGCCCAGGCUGCACGGACUGCAACCUUGAGAAACAUCAGCCACAGGCAGCCUGGAGUCGGGUCGUCACCUGCAGGGGCCAGAAGGAAACCGUGUCCAUGGUAACAGUGUGAACAUUCUCCUCAGAAUCUCAAUAAAUGAGUGUGGUGAUGCCGAGGCCUAGCUCUUCAGAGCUUUCGUUCAAUCAGAUCUUUCAUUUCCUGCCACCUGAUGGUGAAUGCAGCAAAAACAAGGGAUAGCUAAGGAAAGGGAAGGGAGUUAGGGCAAAAUGCUUUGUGUGACUGUUGCUCCCCUGGGUAAAUUCCUGUUGUGUAAGGUUUCAGCUUUGUUUAAAAAAAAUGAACUACAGGUGCAUAGCAUGCAUUCUUUCUGGAA